UACCUCUCUCUCUUAGCCGUCCACACGAUGCUGUAUACUAUUACACUCGCGCUGAUCACAUUCGCCUCCACCUUCAUGGUAGCGGACACAGUGGCGAACAUAUGGCAGCUGCUGAACAGCGGACGUGUCGCCCUCAUCUCCUAUAGCGUCUGGAUGGCCGCCCUCACGCUGACAGUAUUGGGCGCGGACUGGCUGACGACACUCGGCUUUGUGCACGCGUUGAUCUUCGUCGCAUGCUGGUGGCUUGUCCGCGAUGGGGAUAAUCCCGCGCAUUCAUCCCCCAGUCGCGACGACUACGUGCGCUUCCCUGUGACGGUCUACGUGCCUGCCUUCGUGGUGCUGUACUUCCUUCAGGGUUGGCUGCAGUGACCAUGGCGGCUGACGAUACCACGUAGACACAGAAGGAUAAAAAAGGAAGCGUUCUUGCUGGCGUGUCUGCCUGAUCGUGUGUGUGCAUGGGUGACACUGUGCACGUGUGUGUGUGUAGCCCUCUGCACAUGACAGAGGUGUCUAGUGGUCGGGGUGCGCAAGGUUUUGCAGCUGGAAGCCGGCGAAUUUGAAGUCUCCUUGCUUUCUCGUUCUCCACUCAUACCCACAGUAAAGCGGGUUGAAACUACG
rnacentral:misc_RNA from 1 species